CAGUGACGUGGACAUCAUGCAAAGACUGCCAGACUCUGUAAUACUGUAAAUGAUCAGUGACUCAGGUUAACACUAAACUUUAAACAGUCCCUCUGUGUCUCUGUGUGUGCUGAACAUCUAGGAUUGAGUCAGGCUGCAUUGACUGUGGGACUUUUCUGUGUUAAAAGCAAGUUGAAGACGGCUCAGAAACAUUUGAAGAUUAAAAUGUAACAUUAUGGCUGCUGGUGGUGUGUAAAGCCUCUACUCAGCUGUAUUUUUGUUACUAAUUUAUGUUUGUUGUUGUUUAACACAGAUUUCAGAAGAGCAAAGAUGAGCACUGUUGCUUAAUCCUUAAUAGUUUAACUGGAUUGGAAAUCAAAAAAUCCUGAUUCUUCUUCCACAGAAGUUUCAUUUGUCAGUGUGGAUCUGCUGAGUCACCUGAAGAACUCAUUUCAUUCAUUCUCCACGAUGUUGAUUUACAGAAACGUUUCACAGGAACUGAUUCCUCCCAAAGGGUGAACUAGUGUGUUUCCAUACAUUAUCUCUGUAUGAAUGUACUUCUUAAAUGAAGGCAAGCGGCGUUUGUCCUGUUUUGUUCCUCAGGUACAGCACGUGAUAUUAAGGGCAGGCGGUCAUCACUGGGGGAAGACAAGAAGCAGACGUACUUCCAAGAGGGAGCUGCAGUGAGGACACAGCCUGGUCACUGAGGUCAGAGGAGGCGCUGAAAGGUUUCCCUAAUAGUUCCUGGUGAAUCAAAGCAGGACCAUAAAGGUUGCUGGACUGCAUGAUGGCCUUACCCCUGAGCAGUCAUCCUGUUAAAGGACCAACCAGUUAGAAGCUGUUUUCAAAGUAGCUGAGCAGAUUUCAUCUCAACAGACAAAGCUGAUGGCAGAAGAUGUUUGGAGAAGAACUUCAGGCCGUGGACUGAAAAGAUCAAAGCAGCUCGUGCUCUGUCUGCUUCCAUUCUGAUGGCAAGAAGAAGAAGAAGAAGAAGACUUCAGCGAAGUGGCGUUCAUGGUCUCAGUGGACAGUCAUGGUCACACACUGCAUGUGGUUAUAAAAGCAACAUGUCUGUUCACCACAACAAUCAAGAUGUGUAAUAUCAGUGCAGCUACGGUUUGUUCUUGAACAUCAGUUCUGUUUUAUACUUUGACCACUUAGAACAAAAAAGUGUUGUUUUCAGAUUCUUUCUUAUAAAUCUGUAAAGCACCUGCUCAUUUUUUAUUACAGUUAGUUUCACAUAAAUAGUAGUGUUUCCUUUAUGAUCUUUUAAUGCUUACACUACACUGUGCACGUCUACAUUAGAGACAUUUCUGUUACCUAUUUAUGAGACUGGGCUGCUUGACUACAAUUUGGAAAUGGAUGCAAAAUCGUGCUAUUGUUUGUUUUUUAAUAUGAUUCAAUUCAAUAAAACUUUAUUGAUCCUGAAGGUUGACCCCGAGGGAAAUUUGGGUUAAGGCCAACACAGGACGUGUCUGACUAAGCAAAGAUUAAUCUGAGCCCAUUUCUACCUGUCUCUACUGUUUCAACUGUAAUUGUCAGGAUAUAUAUUUAUUCCAGCUCUCACAGGACAAAGGAAUGACUCAGACUUGUCAAAUGUUCUUUGACUUGAUACACAAUUUGAAGUUCACAAUUUUCUUACAAAUAAAACUAUAAUG